AGAGUUUGAUCCUGGCUCAGGACGAACGCUGGCGGCGUGGAUUAGGCAUGCAAGUCGAACGGUAGAUACUCCUUCGGGGGUAUUGAGAGUGGCGAACGGGUGAGUAACACGUAGAUGAUCUACCCUCAAAUGGGGGACAACCCAGGGAAACUUGGGCUAAUACCGCAUGAGUGCAGCGCAUAAAUUAUCUUUUGCUGGGUAAUUUAUGCGCUGUAUAAAAGAUGGCUUUCGGGCUGUCGUUUGGGGAUGAGUCUGCGUCCUAUUAGUUAGUUGGUGAGGUAAUGGCUCACCAAGGCGAUGAUAGGUAGGCGGCCUUAACGGGUGGCCGCCCACACUGGGAUUGAGAUACGGCCCAGACUCCUACGGGAGGCAGCAGUCGAGAAUAGUCUACAAUGGACGAAAGUCUGAUAGUGCGACGCCGCGUGAACGAAGAAUCCCUUCGGGGUGUAAAGUUCUUUUAUAUGUGAGCAAUGCUUUUUAUGUGAAUAGCAUGAGAAGAGAGAUAUUAGCAUAUGAAUAAGCAACGGCUAACUCCGUGCCAGCAGCCGCGGUAACACGGGGGUUGCAAGCGUUGUCCGGAAUUACUAGGCGUAAAGGGCAGGUAGGCGGAUCCAUAAGUUUGAUGUUAAAGGCAGCGGCUCACCCGCUGUACGGCGUCAGAUACUGUGGAUCUGGAAUGCGGUUGGGGAAGACAGAAUUCCUGGUGUAGCGGUGGAAUGCGCAGAGAUCAGGAGGAAUACCAAAGGCGAAGGCAGUCUUCUAAGCCGUUAUUGACGCUAAACUGCGAAGGUGUGGGUAUCAAACAGGAUUAGAUACCCUGGUAGUCCACACAGUAAACGAUAAUCACUAGGUGUCGGGUUCGUAGAGAAUUCGGUGCCGUAGCUAACGCGAUAAGUGAUUCGCCUGGGGAGUACGAUCGCAAGGUUGAAACUCAAAGGAAUUGACGGGGGCCCGC
rnacentral:rRNA from 1 species